UACGUAGGGUGCGAGCGUUGUCCGGAAUUAUUGGGCGUAAAGGGCUCGUAGGCGGUCUGUUACGUCGGGAGUGAAAACUCGGGGCUCAACCCCGAGCCUGCUUCCGAUACGGGCAGACUAGAGGUAUGCAGGGGAGAAUGGAAUUCCUGGUGUAGCGGUGAAAUGCGCAGAUAUCAGGAGGAACACCGGUGGCGAAGGCGGGUCUCUGGGCAACUACUGACGCUGAGGAGCGAAAGCGUGGGGAGCAAACAGG
rnacentral:rRNA from 1 species